rnacentral:rRNA from 1 species
GGAGGAAAAGAAACCAACAGGGAUUGCCCUAGUAACGGCGAGUGAAGCGGCAACAGCUCAAAUUUGAAAUCUGGCGCGAGCCCGAGUUGUGAUUUGUAGAGGAUGCUUCUAGGCAGCGGCCGUUCUAAGUUCCUUGGAACAGGACGUCAUAGAGGGUGAGAAUCCCGUAUGUGACCGGCACGCACCUUCGACGUAGCUCCUUCGACGAGUCGAGUUGUUUGGGAAUGCAGCUCUAAAUGGGAGGUAAAUUUCUUCUAAAGCUAAAUACCGGCUGGAGACCGAUAGCGCACAAGUAGAGUGAUCGAAAGAUGAAAAGCACUUUGGAAAGAGAGUUAAAAAGCACGUGAAAUUGUUGAAAGGGAAGCGCCUGCAACCAGACUUCGGGGCAGUGUUCCGCCGGUCUUCUGACCGGUCUAUUCGCUGUCGCGAGGCCAUCAUCGUCUGGGGCCGCCGGAUAAGACUGGAGGAAUGUAGCUCCCCUCGGGGAGCGUUAUAGCUUCCGGUGAUGCGGCGCGUCUCGGGCGAGGUCCGCGCUUCGGCAAGGAUGAUGGCGUAAUGGUUGUCGGCGGCCCGUCUUGAAACACGGACCAAGGAGUCUAACAUCUAUGCGAGUGUUCGGGUGUCAAACCCCUACGCGUAAUGAAAGUGAACGGAGGUGGGAACUUUUUGUGCACCAUCGACCGAUCCUGAUGUCCUCGGAUGGAUUUGAGUAAGAGCAUAGCUGUUGGGACCCGAAAGAUGGUGAACUAUGCCUGAAUAGGGUGAAGCCAGAGGAAACUCUGGUGGAGGCUCGCAGCGGUUCUGACGUGCAAAUCGAUCGUCAAAUUUGGGUAUAGGGGCGAAAGACUAAUCGAACCAUCUAGU